AUUGAACGCUGGCGGCAUGCCUUACACAUGCAAGUCGAACGGCAGCACGGGUGCUUGCCCCUGGUGGCGAGUGGCGAACGGGUGAGUAAUACAUCGGAACAUGUCCUGUAGUGGGGGAUAGCCCGGCGAAAGCCGGAUUAAUACCGCAUACGAUCUACGGAUGAAAGCGGGGGACCUUCGGGCCUCGCGCUUUAGGGUUGGCCGAUGGCUGAUUAGCUAGUUGGUGGGGUAAAGGCCUACCAAGGCGACGACCAGUAGCUGGUCUGAGAGGACGACCAGCCACACUGGGACUGAGACACGGCCCAGACUCCUACGGGAGGCAGCAGUGGGGAAUUUUGGACAAUGGGCGAAAGCCUGAUCCAGCAAUGCCGCGUGUGUGAAGAAGGCCUUCGGGUUGUAAAGCACUUUUGUCCGGAAAGAAAUCCUUGGCCCUAAUACGGUCGGGGGAUGACGGUACCGGAAGAAUAAGCACCGGCUAACUACGUG
rnacentral:rRNA from 1 species